rnacentral:ncRNA from 2 species
CGCAUUCACCCGGGGGGUCCCGUCAAGGGGCUGAGAUUCUGAUAGCGCCAUGUGGCGCAGCGCAGUGACCCGAUGAACCUGAUCCAGUUCAUACUGGCGUAGGGAUGGUGUUCGGGCUGCGCG